rnacentral:rRNA from 1 species
CUGGGAAACUGCCUGAUGGAGGGGGAUAACUACUGGAAACGGUAGCUAAUACCGCAUAACGUCGCAAGACCAAAGUGGGGGACCUUCGGGCCUCAUGCCAUCAGAUGUGCCCAGAUGGGAUUAGCUAGUAGGUGGGGUAACGGCUCACCUAGGCGACGAUCCCUAGCUGGUCUGAGAGGAUGACCAGCCACACUGGAACUGAGACACGGUCCAGACUCCUACGGGAGGCAGCAGUGGGGAAUAUUGCACAAUGGGCGCAAGCCUGAUGCAGCCAUGCCGCGUGUGUGAAGAAGGCCUUCGGGUUGUAAAGCACUUUCAGCGGGGAGGAAGGCGUUGAGGUUAAUAACCUUGUCGAUUGACGUUACCCGCAGAAGAAGCACCGGCUAACUCCGUGCCAGCAGCCGCGGUAAUACGGAGGGUGCAAGCGUUAAUCGGAAUUACUGGGCGUAAAGCGCACGCAGGCGGUCUGUCAAGUCGGAUGUGAAAUCCCCGGGCUCAACCUGGGAACUGCAU